GAUAAACGCUGGCGGCGUGCGUUAUGCAUGCAAGUCGAACGGUUUCGAUUUAUCGGGACAGUGGCAAACGGGUGAGUAAUACAUAAGUAACCUGCCCUUAAGUAGGGAAUAGCUCUGAGAAAUUGGAGAUAAUACCUUAUGUGCUGGUGGAGGUAAUGCUUCAUCAGCAAAGCCUUCGGGCGCUUGAGGAGGGGCUUGUGUCCGAUUAGCUAGUUGGUAGAGUAACGGUUUACCAAGGCUAAGAUCGGUAGCUGGUCUGAGAGGACGGUCAGCCACACUGGGACUGAGACACGGCCCAGACACCUACGGGAGGCUG
rnacentral:rRNA from 1 species